rnacentral:tRNA from 2 species
GGAGGAUUGACCGAGUGGCUAAGGGGCUUGAUUGGAAAUCAAGUAAGGCGUAACAGCCCCGCGGGUUCGAGUCCCGUGUCCUCCGCCA